AGACAGCAGCAGCCACGGGAAUACGAAGGGGGCUAGCGUUGUUCGGAAUUACUGGGCGUAAAGCGCACGUAGGCGGCUUUGUAAGUUAGAGGUGAAAGCCCGGAGCUCAACUCCGGAAUUGCCUUUAAGACUGCAGAGCUAGCAGGUGAGAGAGGUGAGUGGAAUUCCGAGUGUAGAGGUGAAAUUCGUAGAUAUUCGGAGGAACACCAGUGGCGAAGGCGGCUCACUGGCUCAUUCUAGACGCUGAGGUGCGAAAGCGUGGGGAGCAAACAGGAUUAGAUACCCGAGUAGUCCCUGUCUCUUAUAC
rnacentral:rRNA from 1 species